rnacentral:rRNA from 1 species
GAUGAACGCUAGCUACAGGCUUAACACAUGCAAGUCGAGGGGAACGACAUCGAAAGCUUGCUUUUGAUGGGCGUCGACCGGCGCACGGGUGAGUAACGCGUAUCCAACCUGCCCACCACUUGGGGAUAACCUUGCGAAAGUAAGACUAAUACCCGAUGAUAUCCCUAGACGACAUCUGAAAGGGAUUAAAGAUUUAUCGGUGAUGGAUGGGGAUGCGUCUGAUUAGCUUGUUGGCGGGGUAACGGCCCACCAAGCCCACGAUCAGUAGGGGUUCUGAGAGGAAGGUCCCCCACAUUGGAACUGAGACACGGUCCAAACUCCUACGGGAGGCAGCAGUGAGGAAUAUUGGUCAAUGGACGGAAGUCUGAACCAGCCAAGUAGCGUGCAGGAUGACGGCCCUAUGGGUUGUAAACUGCUUUUAUGUGGGAAUAAAGUGAGGGACGUGUCCCUUUUUGUAGGUACCACAUGAAUAAGGACCGGCUAAUUCCGUG